rnacentral:rRNA from 1 species
GUGGGGAAUUUUGGACAAUGGGGGCAACCCUGAUCCAGCAAUGCCGCGUGCAGGAAGAAGGCCUUCGGGUUGUAAACUGCUUUUGUACGGAACGAAAAGGCUCUGGUUAAUACCUGGGGCACAUGACGGUACCGUAAGAAUAAGCACCGGCUAACUACGUGCCAGCAGCCGCGGUAAUACGUAGGGUGCAAGCGUUAAUCGGAAUUACUGGGCGUAAAGCGUGCGCAGGCGGUGCUGUAAGACAGGCGUGAAAUCCCCGGGCUCAACCUGGGAAUUGCGCUUGUGACUGCAGUGCUGGAGUGCGGCAGAGGGGGAUGGAAUUCCGCGUGUAGCAGUGAAAUGCGUAGAUAUGCGGAGGAACACCGAUGGCGAAGGCAAUCCCCUGGGCCUGCACUGACGCUCAUGCACGAAAGCGUGGGGAGCAAACAGGAUUAGAUACCCUGGUAGUCC